UACAUUUGCGCUGCUUUUGGUUCCUGAUGUAAAAUCGGGAUUAAAAGGGAAUACAGUGUAAAUCUGUAACUGUCCCGCAGCUGUAAGCUCUAUAACGUUUUUCAAUCCAUAAGUCACUGUUCCGCUUAUCAGGCACGGGAAGACAGAAAAACGGGAGUAAGUCAGAAGACCUGCCUUUAGCAUUUAAUUUCA
rnacentral:ncRNA from 2 species